UCUGAGAGUGUCAUGAGCGCAGCGGUGGUA
rnacentral:piRNA from 1 species